UGAAAACAUUUGAAAAGGGGAACAAGUUCAACUCAGCUGAAUGCGAAACGUGCGCGAAGUGAGCAGCAGCAGGCAGUCCCAUUGGCCAACUGAGUGAAGUCGCAAACGAAACAAUUUUGUGCCAACUCGUGUAAUUGAAGUGCAGCAGCAGCAACAAUAGCAACAAUAACAAAAAACAAUAACAAAAGGACAAGUGAAUGAAUAAAAUUUAAUUAUGAGAUAAUCGUGAAAACAAAACAAAUUAAAUAACACAAAACGCACAGGAAACACAUUUACACAACGACAGGCGGCAACAUAUAAAAUAAAAUCCGUAAAGGGUAAACUUUGGCACCAGAUCGAGGAUGCACAACUGGCGGCAACUGGCGACGGCGUCGAGCUGGUGGCAAGCACUGCAAACACCCUGUUACUGUACCACAUCCUGCCACGCGUUCCACUUAUAGAUACAGCUACAGAUAUAUAUAAAUAUAUAUAUAGAUACAAAUGUGCAGCUAUUAGAUACAGCGUGCAUGCACGAAAGAUACUCGCGAAUUGAUGUGGAACAUGUGCCAAUGCUUUGCGCUGUUGGUAGCUGCCGCGAGGGCGACGUUG